rnacentral:lncRNA from 1 species
AUGCCUACUCACACCAUUGCACACUCACACAUGCUCACACUCACGCCGUUGCACGCUCACACCAAUGCACACUCACACAUGCUCACACUCACGCCGUUGCACACGCACAACAUUGCACACUCACACCAAUGCACACUCUCACAUGCUCACACUCAUGCCGUUGCACACUCACACCGUUGCACACUCAGUCACACAUGCUCACACUCUCACAGUUGCACACUCACACCCACACAUGCUCACACCCACACCGUUGCACACUCACACUAUUGCACAUUUAUACUCACACCAUUGCAUGCUCACACACACCCACACCAUUGCACACUCAUACACCAUUGUAUGCUCACACUGACACACGCUCACACUCACCCCAUUGCACACUCACACCCACUCCAUUGCACACUCAUGCUCACAAUCACACUCACGCUCACCCAAUUGCACACUCACGCUCAUGCUCACACUUGCGUACACACCCCAUUGCACACACACACACGCUCACUCCAUUGCACACUCAUACAAUCACACACACGCUCACCCCAUGGCACACUCAUGCUCACACUCACCCCACUGCACGCUCAUGUGCACAAUCACACUCACCCCAUUACACACUCAUGCUCAAACACACACACUCACACUCCCCCCAUUGCACACACACACACACUCACACUGACACAAUUGCACACUCACACACAGGCAUUGCACACUCACACGCUCACCCCAUUGCACACUCACGCUCACUCCCCCCAUUGCACACUCCCACACACUCACACUCACACACGCUCACCCCAUUGCACACUCACACUCAUGCUCACACACACUCCCCCGUUGCACACUCACACUCGCCCCGUUGCACACUCACACUCACUCCGUUGCACUCACGCUCACACUCCCCCCAUUGCACACUCACACACACACACACACUCACGCUCACACUCCCAUUGCACACUCACACUCACUCACACACACUCACACACACUCACACUCACUCACACACACACACACUCACACACACACACACACUCACACACACUCCGUUGCACACUCACACACACUCACACACACACUCACGCUCCCCCCAUUGCACACUCUCACUCACACACACCCCGUUGCACACUCACACACACACACGCUCACACACACUCCGUUGCACACUCACACUCACACACACUCACACUCACGCUCCUCCCAUUGCACACUCACACACUCCGUUGCACACUCACACACACUCACACACACUCACACACACUCACACACCCCGCCCCAUUUUCUAGCACAGCUUUAUUGACCCCUGUCCCACAGCGCGCAGCUCCACCCCAUAGGUGUCACGCGGCCCCAUACGGCCCAGUGUCCCCAUAG